AAGUAUUUCAUAAAUCAUCUAUCAGUUGGCUAAAAUGUGCUUCUAAUACUACUAAUAUGAUUUUGAUAUAGUUGAUACACUUCAUCUUCCCAUUUAAGGAGGGAGCGCGAAUUUCAGGCUAUUGGUAUGAGAUACUAUCCGUCAAACAAAGUGUUUCCUUUCCAUUUCCAAUUCUACAGAGCUUGUGUCAUCACUUCCCUUGUACUUGUACCACCUAGCACAUAUUAUGAAAUACACAACAUUCAUGAUUCCCAGCGCGGUAAUUAAGAAAUAGAAGUAAUCCAAU
rnacentral:misc_RNA from 1 species